rnacentral:rRNA from 1 species
UUCCUACGGGUGGCUGCAGUGGGGAAUUUUGGACAAUGGGCGAAAGCCUGAUCCAGCCAUGCCGCGUGCAGGAUGAAGGCCUUCGGGUUGUAAACUGCUUUUGUACGGAACGAAAAGACUCUGGUUAAUACCUGGGGUCCAUGACGGUACCGUAAGAAUAAGCACCGGCUAACUACGUGCCAGCAGCCGCGGUAAUACGUAGGGUGCAAGCGUUAAUCGGAAUUACUGGGCGUCAAGCGUGCGCAGGCGGGUAUAUAAGACAGAGGUGAAGUCCCCGGGCUCAACCUGGGAACUGCAUUUGUGACUGUAUAGCUAGAGUACGGCAGAGGGGGAUGGAAUUCCGCGUGUAGCAGUGAAAUGCGUAGAUAUGCGGAGGAACACCGAUGGCGAGGGCAAUCCCCUGGGCCUGUACUGACGCUCAUGCACGAAAGCGUGGGGAGCAAACAGGAUUAGAUACCCCAGUAGUC